rnacentral:tRNA from 1 species
AAAACUUUAAGUUAUUGAGACUACAAUAUUUCAAGUAUUGAAGAGGUUAUUACCAUGUUUUG